rnacentral:rRNA from 1 species
UACGGAGGGAGCUAGCGUUGUUCGGAAUUACUGGGCGUAAAGCGCACGUAGGCGGCUUUGUAAGUUAGAGGUGAAAGCCCCGGGGCUCAACUCCGGAACUGCCUUUAAGACUGCAUCGCUUGAAUCCAGGAGAGGUGAGUGGAAUUCCGAGUGUAGAGGUGAAAUUCGUAGAUAUUCGGAAGAACACCAGUGGCGAAGGCGGCUCACUGGACUGGUAUUGACGCUGAGGUGCGAAAGCGUGGGGAGCAAACAGG